rnacentral:rRNA from 1 species
GACGAACGCUGGCGGCGUGCUUAACACAUGCAAGUCGUACGGUAAGGCCCUUUCGGGGGUACACGAGUGGCGAACGGGUGAGUAACACGUGAGUAACCUGCCCACCACUUUGGGAUAACGCUAGUAAACUGGUGCUAAUACUGGAUAUGUGCUCCUGCUGCAUGGAGGGGGUUGGUAAGCUCCGGCGGUUGUGGAUGGACUCGCGGCCUGUCAGCUUGUUGGUGGGGUAGUGGCCUACCAAGGCGGCGACGGGUAGCCGGCCUGAGAGGGUGACCGGCCACAUUGGGACUGAGAUACGGCCCAGACUCCUACGGGAGGCAGCAGUGGGGAAUAUUGCACAAUGGGCGCAAGCCUGAUGCAGCAACGCCGCGGGCGGGAUGACGGCCUUCGGGUUGUAAACCGCUUUCAGCAGGGACGAAGCUUUUUGUGACGGUACCUGCAGAAGAAGCACCGGCUAACUACGUG